GAGUGACCGAUGUAACAGUGAGAAACAUCUAUUUGACUGCCCCCGCGCACGCAUGGCCCUUGCCCUCUCUAAGCAUCUGAAACCCUAGAGCGGUGGCGAUUUUAGGCUCCUUUCGUUACAGUGUUAUUAUACUCUCCCUCUCCCUCGCUCCUUUCGUUUCCUUUCCCAGUAACAACACACAACACACGCUCUCUUAUUAGUCACUCCUUAAUUUCCCGAAGGAAACCCUAAUCGGAACCCCAAAUGGUUGUGACGGAGGAAAUCGCCGGCGCCACCACUAUCAUCAACCAGAGCUACAAAUUCUCCGCACCGCGAUUCUUCGAUUUUGUCAAAGGCGAGUCCGACGAGGAUGCCAAUAAGGCCGAACUCUGGUUCGAUACGGCUCUCUCCUACGCUCCUUCGCCAUUCAUGCCUAAAAUCAAGACUGCUAGAUCUAUUACUGUAGAUAGCUUGUGUGAUUUUAGCGAGGAUGAUAAUACAUGCAGAAGAUGUUAGCUAGUGUUUAUAAUAAUACUCAGGAAACCAAUACACAACCAUAGAGCAUAACUACCAAAACAGAGGAAGGCAAUGCAGACAAAAUGCUUAAGUUCUGGAAACCAAUAUAAAACCGCAGUCCGUGGCUACUGUAAAGGAAGAUGAAGCUGACAAAAUGCAGAAGGUGUCAGCAAUUGUUGAUGAUAAAGUUUUGGAAACCAAUAUAAAACCAGUGUGUGGCUACUGUAAAGGACGAUGAUGCACCUUGCCCAGGUAGUGCAUGCUUAAACUGCUUGCUUUUGCUUGGUGGCAGCUGCUGGGUAGUUUGGCUAAAGAAAUUACACGUGUCCUAAUGACUCAACCAACAAACAAUCCGGUGGUAGCCAUCAGUUUGUAACCAUUAAAAACUUUCCACGGAAAGAAAAUAACUUACAAGAAAAGAUAACACUUUAUAUGGAGGUGCAUACUAUGGCUCUCACGUGAUGCAGUACGGUGAUGUAGGGUUCGACAAUGAUAUUCUCUUCCUAUAUAUGGCUACAUCUUAUUUUGUAUUUUUAUUGAAACUUGAGAGGUUGCUAGUAAACCUUUUUUUCCCUUGAAUGUUUGGCCCUGAAUGUUAAAACUAUAAGAAAAUAAAGCUUGUAAUUCGAUGGCGCAUUUUA